GGGCACUCUAAGUUGACUGCCGGUGACAAACCGGAGGAAGGUGGGGAUGACGUCAAAUCAUCAUGCCCCUUAUGAUUUGGGCUACACACGUGCUACAAUGGACAAUACAAAGGGCAGCGAAACCGCGAGGUCAAGCAAAUCCCAUAAAGUUGUUCUCAGUUCGGAUUGUAGUCUGCAACUCGACUACAUGAAGCUGGAAUCGCUAGUAAUCGUAGAUCAGCAUGCUACGGUGAAUACGUUCCCGGGUCUUGUACACACCGCCCGUCACACCACGAGAGUUUGUAACACCCG
rnacentral:rRNA from 1 species